GUCUUUCCAAACACCUCGGCCAGUUCUGCUACCAAAUCCCAGGAUCCAGUGGCUUUCUGCAGGGAGAUCAACUGGAGCAGAAGAUCCUUCGGUGGCUGGGGGGGCUCUGACAUUUCAGUGUCCUCUAAACCGGCCCAGACAACAUCCUCUGACAUAGAAACACCAAAUAGAGCGUCAUCUCGGUCAGCAACAGCACGUGCCAUCCUAUUCAUUACUGCAAGAGAAAAACAUGGUAAACAUGGUUUUAAUUAUUCCUCUGGCUGAACAGACAGGCAUGUACGCACACGUGCACAUGCGCACACAUGCUCAUGCCCACGCA